UACAGAGGGUGCGAGCGUUGUCCGGAAUCACUGGGCGUAAAGCGUGCGCAGGCGGUCUGUUAAGACAGAUGUGAAAUCCUCGGGCUUAACCUGGGAACUGCAUUUGUGACUGGCAGGCUAGAGUAUGGCAGAGGGGGGUAGAAUUCCACGUGUAGCAGUGAAAUGCGUAGAGAUGUGGAGGAAUACCGAUGGCGAAGGCAGCCCCCUGGGCCAAUACUGACGCUCAUGCACGAAAGCGUGGGGAGCAAACAGG
rnacentral:rRNA from 1 species